UACAGGGGGUGCAAACGUUGCUCGGAAUCAUGGGGCGUAAAGCGCACGUGGGCGGUUCGUUAUGUCGGAUGUGAAAGCCCUUGGCUUAACCGAGGAAGUGCAUCCGAAACUGGCGAGCUAGAGUACGAAAGAGGAUCGCGGAAUUCCCGGUGUAGAGGUGAAAUUCGUAGAUAUCGGGAGGAACACCGGUGGCGAAGGCGGCGAUCUGGGUCGAUACUGACGCUGAGGUGCGAAAGCGUGGGGAGCAAACAGG
rnacentral:rRNA from 1 species